GUGGCAGUCACCAUGGUGACCAGAGCCCGGACUUCCUCGCCCCACCCGCCGGGGUAAGGGGUGAGGGUGUCAGCUCCAGGUAGGGGUGCACUCUGAGUGAGGGGGAUCCCGCGUUGAAGGAGGACAGGCUGAGGGGUGAAGGGGAACGCAUCAGGAUGUGGGGGGUCCUGCGGUGAGGCAUGAGGAGUGUGCUUGGGGUGUGAGGGCCACAGGUGAGUACUAGCAGGGUGGCGUGUGGGGGCGGGGACUUCCUUGUGACAAGAAACCCUGUCUUGGGGGUGCAGUCUGAGACUGGGGGUGGCGGGGCAAGCAAGGGGAGUGGGGCUGGGGUGUGUGGCCUGGCCCAGGGCCGGUGCUGGUUCUGGUUGAGUGCCAGGACCUAGUCCGGUGACGGGGUGGGGUCGCUGGGGAUGGAGACCCGGUGGGGUGGGCAGAGGGGUGGGCGCGCUCUACCGCCCUACCGCCAGGCCCCGCCCGGCCCGGCUGGGCCCACUCGCAGAGAACCAGACAGCGGGAGCCCCACCCCGAGCGUCCGCGCUGCGGGCGGGAGAAGGCGCGGACACGCAGAUGCCGGACCCCGCCCGGCGCGUGUGGAAGCUGGACGGUAGCCGGGCGCCCCUGGACCUGCUCCCGAGGAGGAACGCGGCUUGGGGUCUGGGCCGCCGCUUGCCGUCGCCUCCGCUGCCAUCGCCGGGCAGCAGCGGAAGGUGUUGAGAACAACUUCAGAAAACCUCAGAAACUGCUCAUUUUUCUCUACAAAUGUUGUCUACACCACCCCUGGGACAUGCGUCAACAGGUACAAUGGCACCUUCUGGAAGCCCGCCAGAUGGAGCUGGAGAUGGCAGACCUGCACGUCUCCACCCUGAAGUAUAAGCAGGCUGAGCAAGAGAGCUUCAGGGCAAGCAUUUCACCAGCGCCAUCGCUCCGGCCCUGAUUCCGGCCGCCUUGUUCGGCCUUGCCCAUCUGCUAAUAACCCCGCAGGGUGUGACCGUCCUGCUCCUCCUGGAGUUCUAAGUCUGCUUCCUGGUGUCCUGUGUCUGUACCUGCACGUCACCUGGUCCAGGUACAUGUGUGUGUGUGUG